AAAGGAGAGAACGGAGUCAUUCCUAGCCACCAGCCCUCUUUCAAUCUCUCACUUGGUUGACUGUGGCUAAAAAGUUGAAGUUCCUCUCAUUAGCACUCCUCACCAAUCAGUUCAGUCAGGCAGUAGCCUGUCUGCAGUUCACCUGUGCUGGGUUUCCAAGGGACAGGCAAUAUAUUUGCACAUGUUCUCCACCUGUGGAGCUUUCUCCAUGUGUAAAGAUGCAACCAUUGUUGUGCAAAUCUUCAGAAAAUGCCAUUUACUGACAAGACAACCCCUGCUGAUUGACUUGGCACUAAAUGGUUCAUCCAGCCUUCACUUACAGCUAUUAAGCUUCAGGCAGAGGAAACUUUUGUUUCUUUUCAUGUCAACAAGAGUAAUUUCCCAUCACUUUAUGAGCCAAAUAGAACAUUCACGUCUUUGAUCCUUCCUCUAAUUUAGUAGCAGCAUUGGAAGCCUAAAAUAAUGUUCCAUAUGGAGUGAAUCCCUUUUUUUUUCUUUCUCUCAUCGCUAGUUCUUUUCCAAUUGGAAAUUUUGCCCUGGCGGAAAAACUCAUUAAAGGAUCACUUAAGGAUGCUUGGAUAGUGGAAAUGAAAAGAAAGACCCAAUACUCUAUUUCAGAUUGGAUUCUUUUGGAAGAAGGAUCCAAUACAAGAUGGCAAAAUAGAGAUACAGAAAAUGAGACUGGUGGAAAUACCUGGCUGAACAUUUGGCUUUUGUCUACAGAAAUACAAAACCUUCUGAAACAGUUGUUUUGUGUGUGCUUCAUAUAUCUGGGCUUCUGCCAGCUAGGGAGGAAGAUUCCACUUUAAUUAAAGGCUGCUGGGGAGAUAAUAAAUCACACUCAGCUUUUGUCUAUGAAUUUCUGUAUUUCGCUUUAAUGUGGCCCUUUAUUUUUUCCCCCAUAUGGGCUGCAGUAAUCUGACUGUGUAUGUGACAAAAAAAACAGAAAAUUGUGGGGAUACGUAUGAUUAUCAGAGCAUGCUACUUUGGUUUGCCAGGCAGGCUAUAUCCAAAGUGAUUAUUUAAAAAUAAAGAAAGAAAACCUUUGAUUUCCAGGGCAAUGUCAUAGAAACUCCUAUUGUAUUCCACAGAAAACUACGCAGAUGAUGAUAAUAUUGCAAAUGCAUUUAGAAACGUCUGUCAGCUUCAGGACUCAUCUUAAAUAAUUGUAUGUUUUGCCUCAGACAAUGCCUCAAUAAUGGUUAGCAAACAGAAGAAAAUAUUGGCAAAAAUUAGGAUGCAUGCUGUUUUAUUUUAUCUACCAGAAAUAUAUAUGAGCGUGAGAGACUGAACGGAUCAGUUGUGUGUAAUAUUCAGAAUAAAAAAUUUAAAAAAAAUUGAACAAGCCAUGUCCCCUUUUCUCAUUGUGGCAUGUUGGCCACCACUAUAUGUAUAUUUAUACCUCACCUUUCAAAAAACAGCACAGGUAGUCCUUAAUGUAUGAUCACAAUCAAUCCCCAAAUUCCUGUUGCUAAGUGUGAGAUUUGCUAAGUGAAGUUUGCUCCAUUUUACAACCUUUCUUGCCAUGGUUGUUAAGUGAAUCAUUGCAAUUAUUAAGUUAGUAAUGGGGUUUUUAAGUGAAUAGUAAUGGGGUUUUUAAGUGAAUCUCUCCCAUCAACUUUGCAUGUCUAUCCUAUUACCAUAUGUGGUGGACAUGCAUAGAAGCAAGGAGAUUUUGGACUAAGAUACACACGUGGUUGGAAAAAAUGACAAAGAGACAUAUUGACUUUAAACCAGAGAUAUUUUUAUUAGGGAUCUUACCAGAGACAUUUAAUAAAGAACUGCAAUAUUUAAUUGUGAAUAUUUUAACAGCGGCUAGAAUUAUAUUUGCAAAAAACUGGAAAGGAGAGAAGACAAUUGAUGAAGAAAUUAUUAAAAAAAUAUUGGACUGUGCUGAAAUGAGUAGAUUGACAUUUGAAAUAAGAGAACAGGAAGAUAAACAAUAUUAUUUGAUAUGGGAGCUAUUUUAUCAAUGGGUAGAUAAUAAAGAAUAGAGAUGAAAUAUUACAUAUGAUAUGAAAUUUGAAUAAAAUGUGUAAACAUUUGUUUUUAGUUAGAUGAAAGAACAUUUGUCACAAUUGAAA